rnacentral:rRNA from 1 species
GAUGAACGCUGGCGGCGCGCCUAACACAUGCAAGUCGAACGAUUAAAGCACCUUCGGGUGUGUAUAAAGUGGCGAACGGCUGAGUAACACGUGGGCAACCUGCCCCCUUCAUUGGGAUAGCCACGGGAAACCGUGGAUAAUACCGAAUACUUCGAGACUUCCGCAUGGAAGACUCGAGAAAGCUCCGGCGGAGAGGGAUGGGCCCGCGGCCUGUUAGCUUGUUGGUGGGGUAACGGCCUACCAAGGCAAUGAUGGGUAGCUGGGUUGAGAGACCGACCAGCCAGAUUGGGACUGAGACACGGCCCAGACGCCUACGGGAGGCAGCAGUGGGGAAUCUAGCACAAUGGGCGAAAGCCUGCUGCAGCGACGCCGCGUGCGGGAUGAAGGCCUUCGGGUUGUAAACCGCUUUCAGCAGGGACGAGGCGAAAGUGACGGUACCUGCAGAAGAAGCCCCGGCUAACUACGU